GAUGAACGCUAGCGGGAGGCUUAACACAUGCAAGCCGAGGGGUAUAGUUCUUUCGGGAACUAGAGACCGGCGCACGGGUGCGUAACGCGUAUGCAACUUGCCCUACUGAAAAGGAUAGCCCUUCGAAAGGAGGAUUAAUACUUUAUAACAGAUUUAAUGGCAUCAUUAGAUUUUGAAAGAUUUAUCGCAGUAGGAUAGGCAUGCGUAAGAUUAGUUAGUUGGUGAGGUAACGGCUCACCAAGACGAUGAUCUUUAGGGGGCCUGAGAGGGUGAACCCCCACACUGGUACUGAGACACGGACCAGACUCCUACGGGAGGCAGCAGUGAGGAAUAUUGGACAAGGGGUGGAAGCCUGAUCCAGCCAUCCCGCGUGUAGGAUGACGGCCUUAUGGGUUGUAAACUACUGUUAUCUGGGGAUAAACCUACUUACGUGUAAGUAGCUGAAGGUACCAGAAGAAUAAGCACCGGCUAACUCCGUG
rnacentral:rRNA from 1 species